ensembl:lncRNA
GGCAGAGGGGUCAGACAGGCUAGAUGUCAGGGCAGGCAGAGGGGUCAGACAGGCUAGAUGUCAGGGCAGGCAGAAGGGUCAGACAGGCUAGAUGUCAGGGCAGGCAGAGGGGUCAGACAGGCUAGAUGUCAGGGCAGGCAGAGGGGUCAGACAGGCUAGAUGUCAGGACAGGCAGAAGGGUCAGACAGGCUAGAUGUCAGGGCAGGCAGAAGGGUCAGACUGGUACGAGUCCAGAAAAAAGGGUAAAAACCAGGAAGACUAGAAAAAGAGAACAGAAAACAGGAGCACGGGAAACCAUGCUGGUUGACAUGGCACAGAGAGACAGGAAACACUGGGAUAAAUACACUGGCACAGAGAG